GGCACCAUGGCUUAGUUGGGUAAAGCCCCUGCCUCUUAAGCAGGAGAUCCUGGAUUCAAGUCCCAGUGGUUCCC
rfam:Pelodiscus sinensis unplaced genomic scaffold scaffold839, whole genome shotgun sequence.